rnacentral:misc_RNA from 1 species
CGCCAUGCCGAUGCAAGUAACGUGUUGGGAGGAGGAGAGUUCCCGCUCAAGGUCAAUGUUGACUUCAGAUCGGCACUUGGGGUCUUGGGUUCCGUGCGCAGGUAGACUUCGGUCGAGCAGUGCGCCGCCAACCCUACGGGUUCCUGCUCCUCAAUUAUCUCGGCUUGAUCGUCGGGAGGUCGGUUUGUUUGACACCCGAGUCGAGCAGAACUUGGGACGUCAGCCUUCGGCACGAUGCCGGCCUUCACGGGUACCUACCCCGGCUUGCCUAGUGGGCCGGGCAGAGCAUGCACUAGCAAGGUUUAAUGAACCGCCCGCCUCUGGCGCUCGCCCGUGAUUCGCCGCUCGUGCUGUUUUCAUCGCCCGUCACUUUUUGCAAGUUGUCUGUAGUUGUGUGAGAUCGAAACCGAGUUUGCUUAGACAACUCUAAGCGGUGGAUCACUCGGCUCGUCCGUCGAUGAAGAGCGGAGCCAUCUCCGUGAAUUAACGUGAAUUGCAGGACACAUUGAACGUCGAUACCUUGAACGCAUAUUGCGGCCCCGGGCAAUACCGAUGU